rnacentral:tRNA from 1 species
AGCACCCAUGGCCUAAUGGAUAAGGCACCUGACUUCUAAUCAGGUGAUUAUGGGUUUGAGUCCCAUUGGGGCGU